rnacentral:rRNA from 1 species
AGGGUUCGAUCAUGGCUCAGAUUGAACGCUAGCGGCAGGCCUAACGCAUGCAAGUCGAGGGGUAACAUAAAAAAGCUUGCUUUUUUGAUGACGACCGGCGCACGGGUGCGUAACGCGUAUACAAUCUGCCUUAUACUGGGGUAUAGCCUUUAGAAAUGAAGAUUAAUCCCCCAUAGUCUCUUUAAAUGGCAUCAUUUUAAGAGUAAAGGUUACGGUAUAAGAUGAGUAUGCGUUCUAUUAGUUUGUUGGUGAGGUAAUGGCUCACCAAGACUACGAUAGAUAGGGGCCCUGAGAGGGGGAUCCCCCACACUGGUACUGAGACACGGACCAGACUCCUACGGGAGGCAGCAGUGAGGAAUAUUGGACAAUGGAGGAAACUCUGAUCCAGCCAUGCCGCGUGCAGGAAGACUGCCCUAUGGGUUGUAAACUGCUUUUAUACAGGAAGAAACCGCUCUACGUGUAGAGCUCUGACGGUACUGUAAGAAUAAGGAUCGGCUAACUCCGUGCCAGCCGCCGCGGUAAUUC